rnacentral:rRNA from 1 species
UACAGAGGGUGCGAGCGUUGUUCGGAAUUAUUGGGCGUAAAGGGCGCGUAGGCGGUGCGGUAAGUCACCUGUGAAAUCUCCUGGCUCAACUGGGAGCUUGCAGGCGAAACUGCCGUGCUGGAGUGUGGGAGAGGUGCGUGGAAUUCCCGGUGUAGCGGUGAAAUGCGUAGAGAUCGGGAGGAACACCCGUGGCGAAGGCGGCCUGCUGGGCCGAUCCUGACGCUGAGGCGCGAAGGCGUGGGGAGCGAACGGG